rnacentral:rRNA from 1 species
AGCCAAGUCGUGAGGCGGAGCUAAUCCCUUAAAGCCAUUCUCAGUUCGGAUUGUAGGCUGAAACUCGCCUACAUGAAGCUGGAGUUACUAGUAAUCGCAGAUCAGAAUGCUGCGGUGAAUGCGUUCCCGGGUCUUGUACACACCGCCCGUCACACCACGGAAGUUGGGGGCGCCCGAAGCCACUUAGCUAACCCUUUUGGGAAGCGAGUGUUGAAGGUGAAAUCAAUAACUGGGGUGAAGUCGUAACAAGGUAGC